UUGAACGCUGGCGGCAGGCCUCACACAUGCCAGUCGAACGGUAACAGGAAGCAGCUUGCUGCUUCGCUGACGAGUGGCGGACGGGUGAGUAAUGUCUGGGAAACUGCCUGGUGGAGGGGGAUAACUACUGGAAACGGUAGCUAAUACCGCAUAACGUCGCAAGACCGAAGAGGGGGACCUUAGGGCCUCUUGCCAUCGGAUGUGCCCAGAUGGGAUUAGCUAGUAGGUGGGGUAACGGCUCACCUAGGCGACGAUCCCUAGCUGGUCUGAGAGGAUGACCAGCCACACUGGAACUGAGACACGGUCCAGACUCCUACGGGAGGCAGCAGUGGGGAAUAUUGCACAAUGGGCGCAAGCCUGAUGCAGCCAUGCCGCGUGUAUGAAGAAGGCCUUCGGGUUAAAGUACUUUCAGCGGGGAGGAAGGGAGUAAAGUUAAUACCUUUGCUCAUUGACGUUACCCGCAGAAGAAGCACCGGCUAACUCCGUG
rnacentral:rRNA from 1 species